UUGGUUAAGUUAGAAAGGGCGCACGGUGGAUGCCUUGGCACUAGGAGCCGAAGAAGGACGGGACUAACACCGAUAUGCUUUGGGGAGCUGUACGUAAGCGUUGAUCCAGAGAUUUCCGAAUGGGGGAACCCACUAUCUUUAGUCGGAUAGUAUCCUUACGUGAAUACAUAGCGUGAGGAAGGCAGACCCAGGGAACUGAAACAUCUAAGUACCUGGAGGAAGAGAAAGAAAAAUCGAUUUCCUGAGUAGCGGCGAGCGAAACGGAAAGAGCCCAAACCAAGAAGCUUGCUUCUUGGGGUUGUAGGACACUCUAUACGGAGUUACAAAAGAAAGUUAUAAAUGAAGCGGUCUGGAAAGGCCCGCCAAAGACGGUAACAGCCCGGUAGUUGAAAUGGCUUUCCCUCCAGAGUGGAUCCUGAGUACGGCGGAACACGUGAAAUUCCGUCGGAAUCCGGGAGGACCAUCUCCCAAGGCUAAAUACUCCCUAGUGACCGAUAGUGAACCAGUACCGUGAGGGAAAGGUGAAAAGCACCCCGGAAGGGGAGUGAAACAGUUCCUGAAACCGUGUGCCUACAAGUAGUUAGAGCCCGUUAAUGGGUGAUAGCGUGCCUUUUGUAGAAUGAACCGGCGAGUUACGAUUUGUUGCAAGGUUAAGCGGAAAAAGCGGAGCCGUAGCGAAAGCGAGUCUGAAUAGGGCGCAUAAGUAACAGGUCGUAGACCCGAAACCAGGUGAUCUACCCAUGUCCAGGAUGAAGGUAAGGUAAUACUUACUGGAGGUCCGAACCCACGCACGUUGAAAAGUGCGGGGAUGAGGUGUGGGUAGCGGAGAAAUUCCAAUCGAACUUGGAGAUAGCUGGUUCUCUCCGAAAUAGCUUUAGGGCUAGCCUCGAGGUAAAGAGUCAUGGAGGUAGAGCACUGUUUGGACUAGGGGCCCUUCUCGGGUUACCGAAUUCAGAUAAACUCCGAAUGCCAUGUACUUAUACUCGGGAGUCAGACUGCGAGUGAUAAGAUCCGUAGUCGAAAGGGAAACAGCCCAGACCACCAGUUAAGGUCCCCAAAUAUAUGUUAAGUGGAAAAGGAUGUGGGGUUGCUUAGACAACCAGGAUGUUGGCUUAGAAGCAGCCACCAUUGAAAGAGUGCGUAAUAGCUCACUGGUCGAGUGACCCCGCGCCGAAAAUGUACCGGGGCUAAACAUAUUACCGAAACUGUGGAUGAACCUCUUUAGAGGUUCGUGGUAGGAGAGCGUUCUAAGGGCGGUGAAGUCAGACCGGAAGGACUGGUGGAGCGCUUAGAAGUGAGAAUGCCGGUAUGAGUAGCGAAAGAAGGGUGAGAAUCCCUUCCACCGAAUAUCUAAGGUUUCCUGAGGAAGGCUCGUCCGCUCAGGGUUAGUCGGGACCUAAGCCGAGGCCGAUAGGCGUAGGCGAUGGACAACAGGUAGAGAUUCCUGUACCA
rnacentral:rRNA from 1 species